CAGCAGUCGCCACGGGAAUACGUAGGGUGCAAGCGUUAAUCGGAAUUACUGGGCGUAAAGCGUGCGCAGGCGGUUAUAUAAGACAGAUGUGAAAUCCCCGGGCUCAACCUGGGAACUGCAUUUGUGACUGUAUAGCUAGAGUACGGCAGAGGGGGAUGGAAUUCCGCGUGUAGCAGUGAAAUGCGUAGAUAUGCGGAGGAACACCGAUGGCGAAGGCAAUCCCCUGGGCCUGUACUGACGCUCAUGCACGAAAGCGUGGGGAGCAAACAGGAUUAGAUACCCCGGUAGUCCCUGUCUCUUAUAA
rnacentral:rRNA from 1 species